rnacentral:tRNA from 1 species
GUCAUGUUAGUUUAUGUUAAAAUGUGUGAUUUGUAAUCACGAGUGUUAGUGACU